UGUUGUUGUUAUAUCGAGUGCAUAUUGUUGCUCACUGCAUACGCAUUCGUGUGUAGAAUCGUACUGUACACCAAGAAUUAUGAAUGCUAAAUUGCUCAUUGUCGCGUAACACAAAACAAUUUUUUUUUUUGGUUUUGUAUUGCCAUACAUACUUUUAAUUCGGAAUUAAAUUCAGUACGAUUCACGCAUAUUGUAAUAGUACAAAAUGUGGUGAACAUCAUACAGACAGAAUAUAAUAGCGCAAAUAAUCAACAAAAGAUAUUUUAUAGUAUAGACAUCGUCGUCGUCAUCAACAUACGGAACUAAAUCAACCAACUAAAUACACUUUGAUGCAAAACGAAUGUUCGCACCAAAACUAAGAAAGUGAUUCGUGAAAUAAAAACGAAGAAUAAACUUUUAUUAGCACGCUAUUCUCUUUUUUUUGCUCCAAGAGAGUACACUCGUCAACCAAAACGAUCGUAUUGGCUUUUGCUACGGAGAAAGACAGGGCAUAAGAUCAGUUAAUAUUUAAGAGACGACGAUUGAUUGUAUCAAUGGGCGUUGUGAAUAGUGAUUCUAAUGCGAAUUAUUAAAUCGCAGUAUUUUUGUGUCUGUGCCAAUGCCUUUGGAUUUGUUGUUGUUGUGCAUAUUGACUGCUUAAACAAUUUUCGAUUGAUAGUUUUGGUUGUUGUUGUUGUUGUUGUUGCAUUAAUUAAAUUUUAGCAUACGCGCGUGCUACCAUACGCCGAGAACGUGAGAAAUGUCACAACGAGCAUUAAAAAAGAGAGAACUUAGUUUACAGAAGCAGGAGAAGGAAACGCACCAAAUAUAUCGUAAGCAAGCACAACAACAAAAUAGCACAUUGAUCACAGCACAAAAACCAAAAUAUACACAACGAACCCAUUCGAAUAGUAGUGUACUUAGUAAAAAUUCAACAGUGAUUAAAUCAAACCAAAUUUCUGAUAAAACCAAUAUCGGUGUGAGUAAACAAAAAUUUUACUCAACACCAAAUUUGGCAUCGAUAUCAAUUGACUCAGACUCAGCACAUUUUAAUCAAGUUCAUCGGUCACAUUCGGAAUCAGAUUUAUCUUGGAUGCCCGAAGCAAAUGCAUUGGUAAAUGCAAAAUCGGAAUUUCAUUUGAAAUCAAUAGCCAGUACACAAGUACCAAGUUUUCAAUCACUUACGACCAGUACACCAAAUCAUCAUUUUAAUUCGUUAAAAAAUACAAACGUUAAACAACAACAGCAACAACAAAUGGAGAGCCCAUCGAAUUUCCAUUCCAAACGAUUUUCCAUACAGAGUGGAUUGAGCGGACAGACGGCCAGCAGCAUGACCUCUAGUGCAUCAACGGAUUCAACACAACCGCCAACCGUUGGUUUCUGUGAUCCAGACAAUGUUCGCAUCCCAAUUGUGGGAUAUGAAGUAAUGGAGGAACGUGCGAGAUUCACGGUCUUCAAACUUCGAAUCGAAAAUCCAUUUACGAAUGAUUGCUGGCUAGUAUUACGACGAUACACCGAUUUUCAGAGGCUAAACAAUAAGCUUAAAUCGAUAUUUCCACAUUUGCCAGCGCUUACAUUGCCACGGAAAAAAUUGUUCGGUGAUAAUUUCAGUAGUUUAUUCUUGAGUAAUCGUGUGCAGGGACUACAAUUAUUUAUUAAUGCAGUAAUGGUCAAUGAAACAUACCGAAAUUCACAACCGGUACGAGAUUUUUUCUGUUUAGACGAACCACCUACUUAUUCGGAAAGUAUUGAAGAGUGUCGAGCCAUUUUUGAGGCACAAGAAGAGACAAUCAAUCAUUUAAAGUUGCAACUGAGAGCCAAAGACGAAAUUAUAUUGUCGAUGCAACAACAAUUAAAUAAUGAAAUUGAAAAGAAUCGAGCGCUAUCCACUGCAAUCAAGUAAGGAAGAGGAAAACACAUUCUCCUCGAAACAUAACAUUUUCAAAGAAAUGACACAUAUUUUUCAUACGAAAAUUGUGACAAUUGCUCAAAAAAGUUUGACGAACUCAUGAAAUGCCAAACGACGGUCAGUAAAAAUGAAUAGUAGUAUAAAUGUUGCAACGCACAUCAUCAAUUCGACAUGAAAUUCGGCCGAUCGAAGAUUUCUUCUUUCUUUGGCUGCAGGCUUACAACUUCCAUUGGAUUUCAUACCUCAUUUAAAAAUUUAGAUAAAAUUCAGAUAUUUAUACAGCGAUGGGAACACAUACAUCCAUUUUUUAGAAAAAAAAUAUUACAGUUACAGAGUUUUUGGAAUAAUGGUGUAAAUAAAAAGUGUCUUAUACUUACGUAUGUAUACAUUGAGCUCAAGUAUUGAGAAGAAAAAUGAAUUUGUAGUAAGUUACCCCAAAUACGACUUACCACGAGGAAAACUUACCACAAUAUGUGAAAUAGAUAGAUAUAUAUAAAUACAAGUGUCCUUCCAAUUGCUUAUAAGCAUAAAUGCGCUCAGAAUCAUGUGAAAUGAUAUUGAUAAUUUUGAAAAUUUCACAACUACUAUUAUUAUACUCAAGCUUUAUUACAAAGAAUAUUGCCUUUUCGAACAUUUUGCAAAUGAAGAUAUUUUUUAAGGAAG